ensembl:snRNA U2 U2 spliceosomal RNA
AUUGCUUCUUGGCCUUUUGGCUAAGAUCAAGUGUAGUUUGGAUUCUACCUUUAUUGAUAUAAAAUUUCAGUCUGUCCUGUUAAUAGUCUACCUGGAAUUUGACUUAGUCAAAAAUAAU